UGAUGUGCUUAAGGAGAUAACGUGUAUCAUAGCCAGAGGUGUGUGGGGUCGUAUUGGUUCCUCAUACUAAAACGUAUAAAUAUCUCGUGAUUUCAAAUUUUAUUGUCUUUAAAUAUAUAUUUGAUAUUAUGCAUUAUUUAUUUGAAAAAAUGGAUUUCUGUAAAUUUAAGUUAUUUGUGAAGAUAUUACCCUGUGCUUUAUCAUGCUCGCAAAUUUUACGCUUGGAACAAGUACCAACUAUGAAGUUCUUAAUUAGACGCUGUGGAAAGAUUAAUAAUUGUACUUUCAAUCUAUUUUCCAAAGGAGAAAGCCAAAGAAGAAAUUUAGUCAAUGCUCACCGAGAUAUAGUGCCCGACAUCUUCCAAUCAUAGCAACCGCCAUUAGCAUCGUCUCUUAUUUUUUCCAAUCAUAGUCAAUGGAUUGUAGGAAUGAAAAGAUUAACCUCUAAGUGAAACUUCAUGUAUAGGGGAAUAUCUGACUGUUUUGCUAGCAAUACAAAAUAAAAAACAAUUGGUUGCGGCCAGAUUAUCUUUGCAUUUUGUCCCUUGGUAAGUGUUUAGUUGUAAAACAAGACAUAUUGUACUAAUGUUGGAAUCUUAUUGAGUUUGUGUAAGUGUGACUAAAUAUAAUGUAUAUUGAUGAUAUCUUGGCAAUGAAUACUCUUUCUCAACUCUUUUUGAUGCUCCUUUUGUUCCCAUCAUGAUUCUGUUGUUUGGUGAUUUCUCAAAUCAUUUUCUUGGUUUUGUUCUUGUUCUAGCUUUUAUUUGUUUAAGCUAUCAUGGGACAUCUUUUUUUAUUUUAACCCUUUUGAUCAUUUUUUCCUCAUGCUAGAUGGCUACCAAAGCACAUAGAAAUAUGGUAAUUUCUUCCUGACAAAGAAGAAAAUGGUUGACUUAAGAUAUGCAUGUUAGUAACUGUACUUCUUACUACAAUUUAAUUUGUUUGAUUGAAGCGUUUAUAAGGUUCCUAAGCAAGACACAGAGAGCAUCAUCCAGAAAGCUAAUUCUUUUGACUUUUGAAUCUUUGAAUACCUGUGCAUCAUGGCUAUGGUAAAAACUGGGUUCUAAAUUUCUUUUUUGCUUUUCAAAAUAGAAGAAAAUUGUGCCCAAGAUAAAGGUGCAAAGGUGCAACGGUUUAUGCAUAGGCGGUCUACUAUGAGAGAGAGGUAAACAAGAUUAAAGUGAUAAAUUAAAGUGAUAUUUUGGCCUCAAAUGCCAUUUUGAAAGACUGGAAGCAUAUGCAGUUUUUCACUCCCGAUUGUGUUUGAGUCUUGUAUCUCUUACUAUUUACAUUAAAAAAAGGAGCCUUCAUGGGUGUUAGUAGUUGAGAGAA